AGUAAAGUCAGCUAAUUAAGCUCUUGGGCCCAUACCCCAAAGAUGUUGGUCAAACCCCUCCUUUACUA
rnacentral:tRNA from 1 species